rnacentral:tRNA from 1 species
CAUAGUUUAGUGGUAGAACGUCCGCCUUGUAGGAGGAAUGUCGUGGGUUCAAUUC